GCGCGUGUAGCUCAGGUGGUUAGAGCGCAGUCCUGAUAAGACUGAGGUCCUUGGUUCAAGUCCAAGCUCGCGCA
rnacentral:tRNA from 1 species